AGUGAACGCUGGCGGUAGGCCUAACACAUGCAAGUCGAACGGCAGCACAGUAAGAGCUUGCUCUUACGGGUGGCGAGUGGCGGACGGGUGAGGAAUACAUCGGAAUCUACUUUUUCGUGGGGGAUAACGUAGGGAAACUUACGCUAAUACCGCAUACGACCUACGGGUGAAAGCAGGGGAUCUUCGGACCUUGCGCGAUUGAAUGAGCCGAUGUCGGAUUAGCUAGUUGGCGGGGUAAAGGCCCACCAAGGCGACGAUCCGUAGCUGGUCUGAGAGGAUGAUCAGCCACACUGGAACUGAGACACGGUCCAGACUCCUACGGGAGGCAGCAGUGGGGAGUAUUGGACAAUGGGCGCAAGCCUGAUCCAGCCAUACCGCGUGGGUGAAGAAGGCCUUCGGGUUGUAAAGCCCUUUUGUUGGGAAAGAAAAGCAGCAGGUUAAUACCCCGCUGUUCUGACGGUACCCAAAGAAUAAGCACCGGCUAACUUCGUGC
rnacentral:rRNA from 1 species